GACGAACGCUGGCGGCGUGCUUAACACAUGCAAGUCGAGCGGUAAGGCCCUUCGGGGGUACACGAGCGGCGAACGGUGAGUAACACGUGGGUGACCUGCCCUUAGCUCUGGGAUAAGCCUGGGAAACUGGGUCUAAUCCGGAUAUGACUCCAUAACGCAUGUUGUGGGGUGAAAGCCUUGGUGCGGCUAGGGAUGGGCCCG
rnacentral:rRNA from 1 species